rnacentral:rRNA from 1 species
AUUAUGGAGAGUUUGAUCCUGGCUCAGAGUGAACGCUGGCGGCGUGCCUAAUACAUGCAAGUCGAACGAUGAAGCUUUUAGCUUGCUAGAAGUGGAUUAGUGGCGCACGGGUGAGUAAGGUAUAGUUAAUCUGCCCUACACAAGAGGACAACAGUUGGAAACGACUGCUAAUACUCUAUACUCCUGCUUAACACAAGUUGAG